rnacentral:rRNA from 1 species
UACGAAGGGGGCUAGCGUUGUUCGGAAUUACUGGGCGUAAAGCGCACGUAGGCGGGUCGUUAAGUCAGGGGUGAAAUCCCGGAGCUCAACUCCGGAACUGCCUUUGAUACUGACGAUCUAGAGGUCGAGAGAGGUGAGUGGAAUUCCGAGUGUAGAGGUGAAAUUCGUAGAUAUUCGGAAGAACACCAGUGGCGAAGGCGGCUCACUGGCUCGAUUCUGACGCUGAGGUGCGAAAGCGUGGGGAGCAAACAGG